UACGUAGGGUGCGAGCGUUAAUCGGAAUUACUGGGCGUAAAGCGUGCGCAGGCGGUUUUGUAAGCCAGAUGUGAAAUCCCCGGGCUUAACCUGGGAAUGGCAUUUGGGACUGCAAGGCUUGAGUGCGGCAGAGGAGACUGGAAUUCCUGGUGUAGCAGUGAAAUGCGUAGAUAUCAGGAGGAACACCGAUGGCGAAGGCAGGUCUCUGGGCUUACACUGACGCUCAUGCACGAAAGCGUGGGGAGCAAACAGG
rnacentral:rRNA from 1 species